CAGCCCGGCGGGCGGCGGGCGGCGGCGGACGGCGGGCGACCCGGCGCAGGAGCAGGAGGAGGGGGAGCCGCACCGCCUGGGAGGGAAGCCGGGGCGAGUCGAGGAGGUGGCGGGAGGAGGAGACAGCGGGGAAAGGUGUCAGAUAAAGGAGGGCUCUCCUCCGGUGUGGAGGCAUCAUGGCCGCUAAAUCAGACGGGAGGCUGAAAAUGAAGAAAAGCAGCGACGUGGCGUUCACCCCGCUGCAGAACUCGGACCACUCGGGCUCGGUGCAGGGAUUGGCUCCAGGCUUGCCGUCGGGGUCGGGAGCCGAGGACGAGGAGGCGGCCGGGGGCGGCUGCUGCCCGGACGGCGGCGGCUGCUCGCGCUGCUGCUGCUGCUGCGCCGGGAGCGGCAGCUCCGCGGGCUCGGGCGGCUCCGGCGGCGUCGCCGGCCCGGGCGGCGGCGGGGCGGGCUCGGCGGCGCUGUGCCUGCGCCUGGGCAGGGAGCAGCGGCGCUACUCACUGUGGGACUGCCUCUGGAUCCUGGCCGCCGUGGCCGUGUACUUCGCGGACGUGGGCACAGACGUCUGGCUCGCCGUGGACUACUACCUGCGCGGCCAGCGCUGGUGGUUCGGGCUCACGCUCUUCUUCGUGGUGCUCGGCUCGCUGUCGGUGCAAGUGUUCAGCUUCCGCUGGUUUGUGCACGAUUUCAGCACCGAGGACAGCGCCACGGCCGCUGCUGCCUCCAGCUGCCCGCAGCCUGGAGCGGAUUGCAAGACGGUGGUCGGCGGUGGGUCUGCAGCCGGGGAAGGCGAGGCUCGUCCUUCCACGCCGCAAAGGCAAGCAUCUAACGCCAGCAAGAGCAACAUCGCCGCGGCCAACAGCGGCAGCAACAGCAGCGGGGCUACCCGGGCCAGUGGCAAGCACAGGUCUGCGUCCUGCUCCUUCUGCAUCUGGCUCCUGCAGUCACUCAUCCACAUCUUGCAGCUCGGGCAAAUCUGGAGAUAUUUCCACACAAUAUACUUAGGUAUUCGAAGCCGACAGAGUGGGGAGAAUGACAGAUGGAGGUUUUACUGGAAAAUGGUAUAUGAGUAUGCGGAUGUGAGUAUGCUGCAUUUGCUAGCCACCUUUCUGGAAAGUGCUCCACAGCUGGUCCUGCAGCUCUGCAUUAUCGUACAGACUCAUAGCUUACAGGCCCUCCAAGGUUUCACAGCGGCAGCUUCCCUCGUGUCCCUGGCCUGGGCCUUGGCCUCCUACCAGAAGGCCCUCCGGGACUCUCGAGAUGACAAGAAGCCCAUCAGCUACAUGGCCGUCAUCAUCCAGUUCUGCUGGCACUUCUUCACCAUCGCCGCCAGGGUCAUCACGUUUGCCCUCUUUGCCUCGGUUUUCCAGCUGUACUUUGGGAUCUUCAUCGUCCUUCACUGGUGCAUCAUGACCUUCUGGAUCGUCCACUGUGAGACAGAAUUCUGUAUCACCAAAUGGGAAGAGAUAGUGUUCGACAUGGUGGUGGGGAUUAUCUAUAUCUUCAGUUGGUUCAAUGUCAAGGAAGGCAGGACACGCUGCAGGCUAUUCAUUUACUAUUUUGUGAUCCUUUUGGAAAAUACAGCCUUGAGUGCCCUCUGGUACCUCUACAAGGCUCCCCAGAUUGCAGACGCAUUUGCCAUUCCAGCGCUGUGUGUGGUGUUCAGCAGCUUUUUAACUGGCGUUGUUUUUAUGCUGAUGUAUUAUGCCUUCUUUCAUCCCAAUGGACCCAGAUUCGGGCAGUCACCAAGUUGUGCUUGUGAGGACCCAGCCGCUGCCUUCCCUUUGCCCCCAGACGUGGCCACAAGCACCCUACGGUCCAUCUCCAACAACCGCAGUGUUGUCAGCGACCGCGAUCAGAAAUUCGCAGAGCGGGACGGGUGUGUACCUGUCUUUCAAGUGAGGCCCACUGCCCCAUCCACCCCAUCAUCUCGCCCACCACGGAUUGAAGAAUCAGUCAUUAAAAUUGACUUGUUCAGGAAUAGGUACCCAGCAUGGGAGAGACAUGUUUUGGACCGAAGCCUCCGAAAGGCUAUUUUAGCUUUUGAAUGUUCCCCAUCUCCUCCAAGGCUGCAGUACAAAGAUGAUGCCCUUAUUCAGGAGCGGUUGGAGUACGAAACCACUUUAUAAAGCAAAAGGAGUUGCAGGACCCACAACAUCCAGAUGAAGGGGUGACAGCAGGGCUGUGGCCAUAAUGACACUUCAUCCUAGAGCAGGGCAGUGAGCCGUGAAGUUCCUAGUGGGACCGUCAUCACCAUUAUCAUUUGAUCCUGUCGGCUGGGGGCGGCUGGUCUCCUUCAAAGCAGCUGCACCCGAGAGUCUCUGACUCCACCUGAAAGAAUGACGCUGGCUUAGUAGGACUCUCCAUUGCUACCAAACUCCUCCUGCACGGUCUUGGGUGCACCCACCAGAGGGUACUAUUAUUAUGGAAAAAUUUUGCCUCCAAUCAUUAGGGUGUCUUGAUGGCGUUAACUGAUCUUUCCAUAAAAAUAGAUUCAGUCAUACACACAUACAUACACUAACACACAUAAGUUACACCAGUCCUCUGUCAAAAAAGCUUAGGUGACUUUUCUUGAUGCAAAGCUCUGAUUCCCACAGGAAUAUAAAAACAAAGAAAGAGGGAAACAUCCCUCGAGAAAAAAAAUAGCAUUGCUUAGAAAAGAAUUCAUAAACCAUUUUCUCAUUUGGAAAUCCAUACCAUGUGUGAAAAUCCUAUCCAACGGACAGCAAACCCAAAUGUUGUCUACACAUGUGUUAGCAUUGAUGGAGUGGUUCAUUUUCUACACAUUUCAGGAUUUGUUUUAUAUUUUAAAUUUUCAGUUGCGAACAUCCUUUUUGACAGAAAUCCUAUGCAGCCCAUGUACGGCUUUCAACAAGACCAAGGAGCUCAAUAACUUCAUGAUGUAAAUUAAAUAGUAAUCAUGAUUCAGUAUUCAAUUGCAAAAAUGUAACAGGUACACAAAGAGGAAGUGGGGAAAAAGGCAAAAUGAGAGUCUGAUUCCCAGGCAUGUGCAGCGCCCAUUGGGACAUAACGGCAGUGCGGCGCGAGCCAGAGGAAUGGGCUGGAACCGGAUCUGUUUCCAGACGCAGAAUGAGUGGCUCUGUGUGACCAUAGGCAGACGCUGACUCUGGAAGACUCCGUGCCACUCCUUUCUAGUGCCAAACACCAUCCAACCACAGGACUGACGUGGAAGCCCCAAACAACUGAGAAUGAGUGGCAUGAGCCCCCUAAAAGCAGGCGAGAGAACGAGCAAUCAAGUUCUCCACUGUGUACAGACUUUUCCUCCCCCCAAUCCAAGGUCAAAGUGAUGUGUCUUUUAGAGGCUUUGGGACACUUUUUAGUAAGUAUGAGCAGACAAAUGCAAUGAAUAUGCUAUGAAAAAACCCUUCUGAACUGAGAGAGGGCUUAUCACUAUAUCCAGCUAAGAUGUGUAUUUGAAUCAUCUGUAAAGUCGCACUCUUACAACAAGCUUCUGGGUUUUAAAUACCUCCGUACAGCAAGUAAACGUUCCCCGCUUUCUGUUCUCAGUGUCCUCGGUCAUGGUGCUUUUCGUUGCAUUAAAAGUGCCGGUCAAACUUUGAUAGUAUUUUUUUAUAGUUGGUGCAGAGUGGAAUAACUCAUGGAUUAUUUCAAUAUUUUUGUAAUAAAAAAUAUAGGGUAUACACAUAGGCAUCAUCACAUUUUUUAUAGACCUGGAAUCGUUUAAAAUACUUUAAGCAUCAUAAUUACUUGGGAUGUCAGAAACUGGUCCACAAAUUCCAUCAGCCUGCCUCAGCAGAUUGAAAACAUUUGUCUCUUGCAAGAUCACCCUACUUUGCAAGUUGGUGCCCCCAGGAACCUGGCCAGGGGUGCUAUCACAAUAUCAGGUGAAGAGAGAAUCAGCUUAAAUAGAAAGGGCUUGUCAAGACUGGCCAAUGUUUCCCAGGAAAUCAAAGCUGUAAAUGAUUACUUUCAUCCAUCCAUUAUAACAAACCUGACCACAGUGGAAGAUGUCUUAAACUUCCUUCCCUGGUUUUAUAUUAACCCAACUGAUAGAUUAAGUAUUAGUCAAACCACUAAAAAAGAAAAAGAAAAAAGUUUAACUUAAUUAUUCGGUUAUUUGGACCUUAUUCACACAAAGUAGUCCAGUUCUCUAGCCACCACCUGUAAUGGGUGUGUCAUCCAGAGACUGUGUCCCCACGAUGACAUCCACAGGAAGUAACAGAGGGCUCAACCUAGGACUUCUUUUGGUACAAAGCCCCAAAUCAAUUUUUUUAAAAAAUAGACAAUUUUUAUAAGUAGACAUACUUCCUAGUACUCCAUGAUUUGAUCCUCCAAGCAAGAUUUCCACUAAAAAAUACUAAUCUUUUGUUGGGAUGUGGAAAGAUUACCUAGUCACCAGUAAAGGCCCAGGAAAAGGCUCUUCUUGUCAGCACAUGGUGAAAACAUUCCACCCCCACUGUAGAAGGAAAAAACGAUUUUGGCAAAUUCUUCACUUUUGUGCAGAACCUUGAGUUAUUAGCUUCAUUGUUUCCAAGACAACUUUUAACUGAUGAUCUUUGGAAAUUGAGUUUCUCAGUUGAACUGUACCUUUGAUUCUAUGAGUAAAUCACAGAUUACAGUCUAAUAGAGUCAAUCAAUCAACACAAACCCAACAGGCCCCAUCAUGCUUCAAUCAUAAACAUCCUGGAGCUUGUCAAGCUUUACUGGAGGUGAUUUGCAGUUAAUUAAUUCAACAGACACUUUAAUCUUGCAAAUUCUUGACUUGUAAUAUUGUAACCAAGCUCCUGCAAGGGAACAUUAAUCAGUUAGUGAAAAAGGAGCACUUCCGUUCAGCCGUAGUACCAUGACGUGCACAGGCCUGAAGAGAAAGACCUCUGUGAAGUGGAGCGCUAGUGAAUUCCUGCUACCUGCUUCUUAUUGCUCACGCUAUGAAUAUUCAUCUGCUUCAUUUGUUUUUUCCAGUAAACGCUGUUUUGAAAAAAAAGAAAAAUAUUCCCGGGGGCUUGCAUAGCUCAGAGAACGGGGUACUGGGUCGUGGAGACUUGCUUUAAAUGGAUUCAAAUCCACAUGUUUGGAAAUGAAAAUAAUGCACUGUCAUCUGUUGAAUAAUUGAUCUGUCUGAGUACAGUUGCUGCUUUUAUUUCAUUUCUUGAGACUACCAUUGUCAGCAUUGUAAUAACCAAUUUAUAAAAAUUGAGUUUUUAUUCAGUUUCAGAGGUAAAAUCUGCAUGGGUGCAGCUACUGAAUAAUUUGAUUCCUGCCUUCUUAGGUGGUGACAUUAGCAGUUCCAAACCGAGAUCCAUUUCUAUGUGGAAUUGGCUAUCUUGUUGCUUCUCAGGCCCUGCAAAACCUUGGUUACGAGCUCAAAGAUCACGAAUCUGAUAUUCUUUUUUUUUUUUUUUUUUUUUUUUGAGACAGAGUCUCACUCUGUCGCAGGGGCUGGAGUGCAGUGGCACAAUCUCGGCUCACUGUAAGCUCUGCCUCCCAGGUUCACACCAUCCUUCUGCCUCAGCCUUCUGAGUAGGUGGGACUACAGGCGCCUGUCACCACGCCCGGCUAAUUUUUUUGUAUUUUUUAGUAGAGAUGGGGUUUCACCGUGUUAGCCAGGAUAGUCUCUAUCUCCUGACCUCGUGAUCUGCCCUCCUUGGCCUCCCAAAGUGCUGGGAUUACAGGCGUGAGCCACCACACCCGGCCCUGAUAUUCUUAAUGACUAAAUUUUCACAUAGAGGUAAACAGAGCAUCUCUUAAUUUAAGACAUGGUUCUUUCUCCCUUGCUUCUGGGUUUUUUUUUUUUUUUUUCAAAGAAAGAUUUGAGCUACGAGAUAAGAAUGAAGUUACCAGAAGUUAUCAGGUCAUAGUUUCACAGUAUGCAAGAGAGUCGGGCCUUCACAUAUUCUUGUAAAGUUUUCUGUCUAAUCUUUUGGUAUAACAAUUUUAGGAGUUCACCCUAGAUGAAAGAGUGGAAGUCAUCAGAUUUGUCAAUAAGCAGUCUAGAGGAAAAACAAGAAGAGGAAGAAGCAGGGAUUCUUUUUCUUGUGUUUCGAAGAUGUUUCUCCUCCCAAAGCUAUCACCUUGGUAGUUAUCACCAAGAUGUAUAAUAGCAAGCACUACUGAAUGAUCUUCCCAGUUAUCAGCACUAGUAUCACGGCGAGUCAGUUUUCAGAACUAGCUCUUGGCGCAAGCCCUGAAAUAAAAUGGGGACAAAAAGUGGUCUACCACCAUGUGACUUAUUUUCUUUAUUUUUUUUUUUUAUUUUAUUAUUAUUAUACUUUAAGUUUUAGGGUACAUGUGCACAACGUGCAGGUUUGUUACAUAUGUAUACAUGUGCCAUGUUGGUGUGCUGCACCUAUUAACUCGUCAUUUAGCAUUAGGUAUAUCUCCUAAUGCUAUCCCUCCCCCCUCCCCCCCACCCCACAACAGUCCCCGGUGUGUGAUGUUCCCCUUCCUGUGCACGUGACUUAUUUUCAAUUGCCGAGCAAUGAAAACUAACAAGUUAAACAAAAUGUUCAUUUUCUGAACCCCAGAGCCCACAUAGGUACAAAGAUACUCUGUAAUGUACAAUGAGGUGGCCAAUCGUGGGGAUAUGGGAGCAAUAAAUAGUCCUCUUAAGCAAGGUUCAUGGGUAAGAGUUACUCUAGCAGGAUUGGGUGUUGGGUCAGAGGGUAUCUAUUAAUGUAGAGGCCCAAGUAUGGUGAUGAAGAGAAAACCUGUCAGUGGCUCAUCCAUAGUAUUUGCCUUUUCACAGAGCAGAGAAGUUCAAAAUAGUUACUGCCAGUCCAUAACUAUAACAACAGACAUGUCCACUUUGGAAAGGCUAGGGCCUGAUGAAAGUGGGAAAACAGAGAUGUCAGUGGUGUCAUGUCUAAGAGUGACUCUGUCAUUAGGGGAACCCACCCCCUGUGAUAGUUCUCCUUGACCACUGGUCCCUAUGGGCUCUGCAGGAGAGCUUCUCGUGGGUUCUAAGAUAAGGUAUUCCAAGGUAUUGUAAGUUACCCUUGUUUGUAGAACAUGAACCACUUAACCAUCCCUCCUUUUAACAGCAAUGAGAUUCAGGGUUACCAUGGCCUUACUCAUCUUCCCAUUGUAAAUAUAUCACAAUGUCACAAGAGCCUCUGUGUCCAAACACACUAAACUGGGUUUACAAGCAUUAGAAUCUUUCACUCAUAUUGUGAAUCUCAAUUCUGCCAGUCACCUAGUCUGUGUAUCUAUUCCCAAACUGGAAAAAAUAAUUCUUGAGAGAAUAAUUUUCAGAAUAAUGGAGGUGGAAAGAAAUGAACAGUUAAGCAAUUUUUCAACAUAGACAAAACCACUGGACCAUUGAUAGCCCUCAAGCUCUGAUUCUUCCUCCUGACUAAGUUUCUUUUCUUUGGGGGGCUUUCAACAUUUGAAUUUUCCAGAUGAUUGCUGAACCAUCAUCACUAAACCAAAGUAGACAAGGAGUUAUUAAAAAAUAAAGACUGUCCACAUGACUGCAAAUAUCCUGAUGAAAAGUGGCCAAGUAGAUCACUCAGGUGGUAAAUUUGGUCUUCAUGAUAUCAAACAUACGGAUAUUUGGAAAAGUCGAGAUGUUUGAAUCAUACAGUUUUCCGUCUGGGUGUCUGGUGUUUCUGGAUAGACAGACUGCUCAGGUGUUGUAAGUAAUGGAAUUGAACUUUCUUGCGCCAUAAGCAAUUACUGGUCAUAUUCUGCUGCUAAAAGUCUCUUUGUUGUGCAAAGAGAAAUAAUGCAGAACAAAUGUUAUUUAAUUUUUAUUUACUUUCAGCAAACACAUGAAUGAAAGAGGUCAGGUAGGCUGUCCUGGGCAUUCUGGGCCUGGCUGCGGCACACCCUCCUUCACUUGGCCCCUGCCAGGCAAGAAACUUUCUAUUCAGUCUUUGCUAUCUUUCAUAAAUUGUAUCAUUGCUCUUCUGCUGUUCAUAUCAUCUUAGUUAUUCACAAAGUCUACUUGAUAAAAUGGCUCAAGGGAAAUAUAAGUUUGUUAAGUUUUUAUUCUUCAAAUAGAAGUUUUAAUUUUAAGCAUUCCUUAUGAUAUUUUUUAAGCCUAAAAACCAUUCAAACUGCUUGACAAAAUUAUUUCAUGGUGAAUUUUAUAAUGUUAAUAGAAGUAAAAGCUAUUUUUCCCAAACCAAACAAAAUACCAUACAUAGUUUUUUGGGUUUGGUUUGUUGAUGUCAUGCCAAUUUCCAAGCACCAACUGGUUACCACAAACAUGGGAAUAUUUAGUGAUAUCUUUGUAGUCAUUGUUAAAAUUCCUGGGAAAAAAAGAAAAAGUUUACGUCAAAGGAAAAUUCACCUCCCUCAAGGAAAGUCUGAGAUGUUCAUCCUGACAUUUGCGUUCCUGAUUAUUUGUGGACAUUUCUUCAUUGUGACAGUAGGAAGAUGAGCUUGUUUCUCCUGAUUUGACACUGGGUUGGUGAGCAUUGUCUCAAAUUUUGUGCUUGCCUCAUUUAUGGUCCUGAAGCUUAGCAGAAAAACAGACAAGCUAUUCAGACCAGUUUUCUUUAAGAGCACUUAUGUUGCAGAACAUGAUACAAAUGAUUCACCGUGAGCAGGCACACAGAGUACUGAAAGGUAUUCAACUAUGCAAAGAUAUUGAGGGGAUUUCCAGGGAAAACUUAAAUGUUUUGAAGAUUUGUAGGUAGGGUUUUGAUUGUGUCACAUUCUACACUCAGUGCCAAGUUAGAAUGUCUUUAUGGGGAAGGCAAUAAAGUUACUUGUUGGGUCCUUCCUUCCCUUACAAGCAGAAUGUUUUUAUGAAAUCAAAUGGAUCCUCCACUUUGUGUAGUAAGGACCCCCCAGGCCCCACAACAUCAUCACUGUGAGUCCUAUCGCAGAUGUGUGUACCAGCCCAAUUCAGUUUUGCUUUUCUUUUUCCCUAAGAUUUUUACUUCACCAAAUCCCAUUUCAAAUCUUUUUACCUUCAUGUUACCAACAGGAUGUUUAGUUGAAUCAGCAACAAAGACGUGACAACCUAUUGUCCUCCACAAAAGCAUUUUAUUCAGUGAUCUUUGGUAGUACGAUAAUCAAUGGAAUUUAUGGUGUCGUAGAAAACCAAAAAUCCAUGUUGAAUAUAGUGACUGUCUUAAAUAUACUUAAAUAUGUUAUUCUACAAAACAAUAUCCUUUUACACUAUGGGAUGGAUUCCUUUCUGGAUGCAGGGAUGGGAGGGUCUAUGGGUCAGUGACUGGGACAAAGGAAAUGGGAAUCUCUGCACAACUGAGCCCUAAUCCCUGGUCCAUCUCUCCAGCCUCAGAAACUCACCCUUGGCCACAUUUUCCCCAUAUGCAAAAGAGAGAUAUUUAUUUACCUACCUCAUAGGGGUGUUGUGGAGAUUAGCUAGAUUUGCUAAAGUGCUUGUAGGUUAGAAAGUGCUGUCAUUCCUGAGAACUGGCAUUAACAGAAGAGAGCUGUGUGCAGCACGGAGGAAGUGGAGUCUGAGGAACACAACAGCAACAACUCACCAAGCAGAGAAUACAAUGGUUCUUCAUCACUAUAUAAAACUAACACUUUUCCUUCAAAGGUCUAUGUAUAAUUUUCUUCAAUGAUUAGCUUUUUAAUGAGACAACUCCUUUCAUCCAGACAUUCAGAUGCUUUAUAUAAGUUGGCAAUUUUCCUGUUAACCAAACUGAAUUUUACUAAAUGUUUAUUAAAAUGCACCCAGAAAACUUGUCUCCUCCUGAUGCCUGAGGGGUUUGCAUGCCUGAUCCCAAGCUGCAUUUUUUCAGAAUGCGUGCAUGAUGCCCCAGUUCUGUACUCAUGAUCACCAGGUGGCGUUCUGAAAUCCACUACUGGGGAAAGAUUUUUAACAGAUAUUAGUGAGAUUAGAGUUGGUGUCAUUUCCAUUGAGUAUCCUCUUCACCCCUAAGAUGACACAUCUUUACAACAAAAUAAAAGAACGUAAAGCCUUAUUUCCACCUGUAACUCCUGAAUUGAUUCAUUUUCAUGUUAUAACUACAUUUCAAAUAUUUCGGAGAAGUUUUUACACAGGGCUUCAGCUAUAUACUGAUAUACAUAUGCUUACAUGUGCUUAGGUGGGAAUUCUACUAAAGGAUAAAGGAGACAGUGUGAAAACAACAUCAGAGAAUAUCCUGUACAACUUCCCCAAAAGUGACAAGUUUUCUUGUACUUAAAAAUUUAAUCCUGAUAAGAACUAAUGUGAAAUAACAUCAUUUUGGUUUAUAAAUAUUUGUAAUUUUUGAGACAUAGAGGCAAUAUCAUGAUAUAGGAAUACAUUCAUAAAACUAGACUAGCAAAGCAGAUAAUGUUUUCAUGAUAUGGCUUCAUGAGGCAAAGUUGUUGUACAUCAAUAUUAUCAUUGUGCCCUUAUUUAAUGAUUAUAUUCCAUUGUGGAAAAAAUGUGCACACUCUUAAAAAUACAAAAUGGGUUUCAGAAAGUUUACCUUGAGAAGUGGGUUUGAAAUCAUCUUGUGCUUGGAGCUGACAUAAGAUACGCACUCAAUAUAAUCUCUUCUGGAUUCUAAAAUCUAAUUGGCAGUGAUAUUUCAAAGCCUUAACAUUUCGAGGUGGUUAAUUAAUAUCUAAUGCAUGGUAUUAAACUUUCUGAAGCAUGAAUUUAACCUAGGCAAUUAUUUGAUUCAUUUUUUUUAAAGUUUGUGCUGCCAAACCAGACUGAAGUAUUGUUUUUUUGGACUAAUACUAUGAGAAUAGUAAGUGAGUCAAACAAUAAUUGGGACUGUCCUUUUUCCCCCGCCCAGUUCCUAGUAUCAAUACUCCCCCAACCAGAAAUGCAGCAGAAUAUCCUUUUUGCUAUAAAGGAAAAUACUGUGUUUUUAUUUGUUUUUGCAGAAGAAAACUGGUGUUGCCUAUUUGGACUAGAUGUAGGGGCCUGGAAGAAGGAAGUGGCAGAUUCACAGGUGGGGUGACCAGGAUGGGAGGAAGAUAGUGGGGCGAGUAUGUCAUGGGGAGAUUUUGCCACAAAGAUACAAAACAGAAUUGAAGUGUGUUAGAGCUGGACAACCCUUUGAAAUGACAGAGUCUAGAUUCUUCACCAAACAGAUGAAAAGACAAGUAGAGACAACAUGUACUUGAGAUAUAAGCUAUACAUCUCAUCACUGGAAGAAAGGAGACUUCAGCCUCUUUUCAAGGCUUUCCAGACCACAUGGAACUCUCCAGAGCCCUCCUUGAAAGUUUUUAGAAAAACUACAAUUUUCAGCAAAGAUUCAUGUGAUUAUGCUGCUGAGGACCAGUCAUUCUGUAAACAUCACAUAUGUGAUGCUUUGUAAAUGUAUUAAUUGUGGUCAACUUUCACGGAUAUUUCCCAUUAACAUUGUAUUCCAUGAACAAGUGAUAGAAAACAUAUGGAAAUUCUCUUUUGAUCAAAAGGAGUGUCUCCCAAUUAGUUUACGUGUGUUAGUAUUGCUGACAUAUUAUUAUCAUCACAAAAUUCCUUUUAUAUCUAGAUGGUAUCAAAUAAGAAAAGAAUGCAUCAUUUGGUCAAUUGCUUAUUGAAGAUCCCAACUGAAGCCUUUCUUUGGUAAAGAGCGCAGAAAGAGACCAUAGCUAUUCUUGGAUGAGAACCUUGCCUCCACUAAAUAGUUUCUGCUUUUCCUCUCUGUAGCCAGACAGCUCAAUAGCCUAGGGUGAGUCGAUGAAGGAUAUGCAAAUUACAUUUUUCCCAUUCUCAGAACAAAGACAGCAAGCAAUGAGCCAGAGGUUUCUUCUCUCUUUGAAACCAAAUAGCACGCUGAAUUUAGGGCUAUGACAAAAAUGUUGUUAAAGCAAGAGCAAAAUCAUCCUUCCUAUGGAUUCUUUUCUCAGUGUUUACUUAAUUCUUUUUGCAGUUUGGAUUGGAGUUUCUAGUAAUGAUAAUUAAUGCCAUUUUACAUGAUAGCUUCAAUGCAGAAAUGGUGUGAGCCUGAGUUACAAAUGACAUGACUAGGGAUACAAACUUCAUCUGUACUAACAUCCUACCAAGCAGAUUGGAAACAAAUACUACUACCACUAAUAUUCUGAUUUAAUUAAUAACAUCUAAUAGAAAAAUAGAAACAUCGUGCUUAGCAUGAAACCAUUGCACAAUGUAAACCUGCUCCCAAAUGGCAAGGAUUUUUGCUACCAAUAUUUGUUCUUAAUUCUCCAGUUAUUUUAAGUAAAUAAGUUUCACAUCUAACUACCUCAGCUACUGUUGUUUUAUUUAGAAACAUGAAACCAUGCACUUUGUAAUCAAUAAGUCUUUCGUUUAACAUUUCAAAAGGAUAUUUGGUGCAAAGCAAUUUUCAAAAAUUUGUACAUGAUAUACACCACCCAACCUCAGGAGGUUGUACUUAAUUUUGUUUGUUAGUUUCUAAGGUUGGUUUUGGGUAAAAUCCUCAUUUCCACUCAACAUCAAGAUAAGCUGCUCUAUAUUUGCUUAAUUUGCCUUAAACAUUUUGUGCUCCUUUCCCUGUUCAAUUUUUUUGUUUUGUUUUAAAUCUAUCUCUGAAAAAAAAUGGAACAGGUGGCAGGUGAACAGCAAAUGGAAGAGAAUGGACCAGUAAUUUCUCAGUCCCCUGUUGUCAACUAUCUGCAUGACAUUCUGAUUGUGCAAAAAUGCCAUUCCUGUGCUUCCCCCUCCAUUACAGAAAUAAGGUCCGAGAGACCCCACGAGUGUGCGUAGGGAACGGUGUAGACAUUUCCCCCAGUAUGAGCACAGUGCCUGGACCCGAAUGAUCAUCUUGGCAGUUCUUGUGCUUUUACUUUGUAAACAUUGUACAAAUGUAUUUGGAAUUUUAUUUGAAAUGGAGACUUAAACUAGUUAUUAAAUUUGUUUCCUUCCUGUAAAUAUAUAUAUUCAAAUUCCAUGUAUCCAAACAUCCCUUUAGCGUUCAGAUUGUAAGUGUGUCUUUAUUCGCGGGAAGCCACUGUCAGCAGGCAGUGACCCCCAGUGCCCUAGUUUGAAGCACAGUGUGUGGAGUAUUUGAUGUACUACAGUACCAUAGUUAUUUUGGUCUGUUAAGUAAGUUGCAAUUUGUGAUGAAAUGAAGUGGAAAGUAGUACUUCAUAAUGAACAAAUUUCCUUGGUUACAUGGUUUUUCUUGUAAAACUUAAAGAAAAAAAGAAAACUUGAAAUUUUAUAUAUUUGGAUUUUGUAGGUUUUUUUUUUAUUUUAAUGCAACACAAGGUACCAAAAUCAUUAAAUAAAGUACACUGUGGUCAUUUUAACAGAAGUCUGUGUUCCUGAUUCUGUCUAAGUCUAGGAAGAGGGCAGGACACCAUAGGUGUUGGAUGGGAAGGGAAAGGAGGAGGCCAUGUACACAGGCAUGUUCCCAAGGCAACACGAUGUAAGUCUGAAAUAAGCAAAGCUGAGUUCUGUCAAAUUUAAAAUACAUUAAAAAUUAAGUUAUAUCUCUUUU